rnacentral:rRNA from 1 species
UACGGGGGGGGCAAGCGUUGUUCGGAAUUACUGGGCGUAAAGGGCUCGUAGGCGGCCAACUAAGUCCGAGGUGAAAUCCCAAGGCUUAACCUUGGAACUGCGUCGGAUACUGGAUGGCUUGAAUUCGGGAGAGGGAUGCAGAAUUCCUGGUGUAGCGGUGGAAUGCGCAGAUAUCAGGAGGAACACCAGUGGCGAAGGCGGGUCUCUGGGCAGUAACUGACGCUGAGGAGCGAAAGCGUGGGGAGCAAACAGG